rnacentral:rRNA from 1 species
GUUGGUGGAGUGAUUUGUCUGGUUAAUUCCGUUAACGAACGAGACCCCUGCCUGCUAAAUAGCCCGGUGAGUGAUUUUUCACUGAUUGAUGGCUUCUUAGAGGGACGUGCAUUCUAUUAGAUGCAGGAAGAUAGGGGCAAUAACAGG